AAAUACGAUUAACUGAUCAAAUUUUUUGGAUGCAUUUUAUUCAGUAGGGUUUUUACUACGUGUUCUGUAAUGCGAACGGUAUCUAGUGGUUGGCAAUGUCUUCCACAUCUAGAUCUAGUC